rnacentral:tRNA from 1 species
GACAACGUGGCCGAGCGGUUAAGGCGACAGACUAGAAAUCUGUUAUCCUCUGGAUGCGCAGGUUCAAAUCCUGCCGUUGUCG